rnacentral:rRNA from 1 species
AGUGAACGCUGGCGGUAGGCCUAACACAUGCGAGUCGAACGGCAGCACAGUAAGAGCUUGCUCUUACGGGUGGCGAGUGGCGGACGGGUGAGGAAUACAUCGGAAUCUACUUUUUCGUGGGGGAUAACGUAGGGAAACUUACGCUAAUACCGCAUACGACCUACGGGUGAAAGCAGGGGAUCUUCGGACCUUGCGCGAUUGAAUGAGCCGAUGUCGGAUUAGCUAGUUGGCGGGGUAAAGGCCCACCAAGGCGACGAUCCGUAGCUGGUCUGAGAGGAUGAUCAGCCACACUGGAACUGAGACACGGUCCAGACUCCUACGGGAGGCAGCAGUGGGGAAUAUUGGACAAUGGGCGCAAGCCUGAUCCAGCCAUACCGCGUGGGUGAAGAAGGCCUUCGGGUUGUAAAGCCCUUUUGUUGGGAAAGAAAAGCAGCAGGUUAAUACCCCGCUGUUCUGACGGUACCCUAAGAAUAAGCACCGGCUAACUUCGUG